UACGGAGGGUGCGAACGUUGUUCGGAUUCACUGGGCGUAAAGGGCACGUAGGCGGCUUGGCAAAUCGGUCGUGGAAUCCCGACGCUUACCGUCGGAACGGCGGCCGAAAAUACCGAGCUCGAGGGCGUGAGGGGUCACUGGAACUCCUGGUGAAGCGGUGAAAUGCGUAGAUAUCAGGAGGAACGCCGGAGGCGAAAGCGAGUGACUGGCGCGUUCCUGACGCUGAGGUGCGAAAGCUAGGGGAGCAAACAGG
rnacentral:rRNA from 1 species